rnacentral:rRNA from 1 species
GGUCAAGUUAUUAAGGGUGCAGGGCGGAUGCCUUGGCACUAGGAGCCGAUGAAGGACGUGAUAAGCUGCGAUAAGCUUCGGGGAGUUGCACGUAAACUUUGAUCCGAAGAUUUCCGAAUGAGGAAACUCACUUAGAGUAAUGUCUAAGUAUCAUUAAGUGAAUACAUAGCUUAAUGAGGGGAACUCAGGGAACUGAAACAUCUAAGUACCUGAAGGAAGAGAAAGAAAUUCGAUUCCGUAAGUAGCGGCGAGCGAACGCGGAUUAGCCCAAACCAAUAAAGUUUUCUUUAUUGGGGUUGCGGACAUAUCAUAACGAAGAGGUAUCGUAAUUGAAGAGGUUUGGAAAGACCCACCACAGAAGGUAAUAGUCCUGUAUGUUAAACGAGAAGACUUUAGAUAUGAUCCAGAGUACCACGGGACACGUGAAACCCUGUGGGAAGCAGGAGGGACCACCCUCCAAGGCUAAAUACUACCUAGUGACCGAUAGCGUAUAGUACCGUGAGGGAAAGGUGAAAAGAACCCCGGGAGGGGAGUGAAAUAGAACCUGAAACCCUGCACUUACAAGCUGUGGAAGCACAUUUCUUGUGUGACCGCGUACUUUUUGUAGAACGGGCCAACGAGUUACGUUAAGUAGCAAGGUUAAGCACUUAAGGUGCGGAGCCGUAGCGAAAGCGAGUUUUAACUGAGCGUUCAGUUACUUGACGUAGACCCGAAACCGGGCGACCUACCCAUGAGCAGGAUGAAGCGAAAGUAAAAUUUCGUGGAGGUCCGAACCCACGAGCGUUGAAAAGCUCGGGGAUGACUUGUGGGUAGCGGUGAAAUUCCAAUCGAGCCCGGAGAUAGCUGGUUCUCCCCGAAAUAGCUUUAGGGCUAGCCUCAAGGUGAGAGAUACGGAGGUAGAGCACUGAAUGUCCUAGGGGGUAUUGCACCUACCGAAGACUAUCAAACUCCGAAUGCCGUCAUCUUAUACUUGGGAGUCAGACUGUGGGUGAUAAGAUUCAUAGUCGAAAGGGCAACAGCCCAGAUCGUCAGCUAAGGUCCCUAAAUGUAAGUUAAGUGGUAAAGGAUGUGGGAUUGCACAGACAACCAGGAUGUUGGCUUAGAAGCAGCCACUCAUUCAAAGAGUGCGUAAUAGCUCACUGGUCGAGUGAUCCUGCGCCGAAGAUUUCCGGGGCUAAAACUUACUACCGAAGCUACGGCAUCAGUAAUGAUGGGUAGGGGAGCUUCCCAUACGGGUUGAAGCAUGACCGUAAGGACAUGUGGACAGUAUGGGAGUGAGAAUGUUGGCAUGAGUAGCGAGAUGUGGGUGAGAAUCCCACAGGCCGUAAACCCAAG